rnacentral:rRNA from 1 species
GAUUCCCCUAGUAACUGCGAGUGAAGCGGGAAAAGCUCAAAUUUAAAAUCUGGCGGUUCUGCCGUCCGAGUUGUAAUCUGGAGAAGUGUUUUCCGUGCUGGACCGUGUACAAGUCUCUUGGAACAGAGCGUCAUAGAGGGUGAGAAUCCCGUCUUUGACACGGACUACCAGUGCUUCUGUGAUACACUCUCAAAGAGUCGAGUUGUUUGGGAAUGCAGCUCAAAAUGGGUGGUAAAUGCCAUCUAAAGCUAAAUAUUGGCGAGAGACCGAUAGCGAACAAGUACCGUGAGGGAAAGAUGAAAAGCACUUUGGAAAGAGAGUUAAACAGUACGUGAAAUUGUUGAAAGGGAAACGCUUGAAGUCAGUCGCGUUGCUUAGGAUUCAGCCUUGCUUUUUUGCUUGGUGUACUUCCUGGGUGACGGGCCAACAUCGAUUUUGACCGGUGGAUAAAGUCGAGGGGAAUGUGGCUCCUUUGGGAGUGUUAUAGCCCUUUGUCGCAUGCAUCGGUUGGGAUCGAGGACCGCAGCACGCCUUUUUGGCCGGGGUUCGCCCACGUAACGUGCUUAGGAUGUUGGCAUAAUGGCUUUAAUCGACCCGUCUUGAAACACGGACCAAGGAGUCUAACAUGCCCGCGAGUGUUAGGGUGGAAAACCCUUGCGCGUAAUUAAAGUGAAAGUUGGGACCCUUGUCAUGGGGGGCACCGACGCCCGGCCUUGAACUUCUGUGACGGCGCCGCGGUAGAGCGUGUAUGUUGGGACCCGAAAGAUGGUGAACUAUGCCUGAAUAGGGCGAAGCCAGAGGAAACUCUGGUGGAGGCUCGUAGCGAUUCUGACGUGCAAAUCGAUCGUCAAAUUUGGGUAUAGGGG